rnacentral:rRNA from 1 species
GGCGAGGGGAGUGAAAAAGAACCUGAAACCGUGUACGUACAAGCAGUGGGAGCACAGGUUUACCUGUGUGACUGCGUACCUUUUGUAUAAUGGGUCAGCGACUUAUAUUCUGUAGCAAGGUUAACCGAAUAGGGGAGCCGGAGGGAAACCGAGUCUUAAUUGGGCGUUAAGUUGCAGGGUAUAGACCCGAAACCCGGUGAUCUAGCCAUGGGCAGGUUGAAGGUUGGGUAACACUAACUGGAGGACCGAACCGACUAAUGUUGAAAAAUUAGCGGAUGACCUGUGGCUGGGGGUGAAAGGCCAAUCAAACCGGGAGAUAGCUGGUUCUCCCCGAAAGCUAUUUAGGUAGCGCCUCGUGAAUUCAUCUCCGGGGGUAGAGCACUGUUUCGGCUAGGGGGCCAUCCCGGCUUACCAACCCGAUGCAAACUGCGAAUACCGGAGAAUGUUAUCACGGGAGACACACGGCGGGUGCUAACGUCCGUCGUGAAGAGGGAAACAACCCAGACCGCCAGCUAAGGUCCCAAAGUCAUGGUUAAGUGGGAAACGAUGUGGGAAGGCCCAGACAGCCAGGAUGUUGGCUUAGAAGCAGCCAUCAUUUAAAGAAAGCGUAAUAGCUCACUGGUCGAGUCGGCCUGCGCGGAAGAUGUAACGGGGCUAAACCAUGCACCGAAGCUGCGGCAGCGACACUCAGGUGUUGUUGGGUAGGGGAGCGUUCUGUAAGCCUGCGAAGGUGGCCUGUGAGGGUUGCUGGAGGUAUCAGAAGUGCGAAUGCUGACAUAAGUAACGAUAAAGCGGGUGAAAAGCCCGCUCGCCGGAAGACCAAGGGUUCCUGUCCAACGUUAAUCGGGGCAGGGUGAGUCGACCCCUAAGGCGAGGCCGAAAGGCGUAGUCGAUGGGAAACGGGUUAAUAUUCCCGUACUUGGUGUUACUGCGAAGGGGGGACGGAGAAGGCUAUGUUGGCCGGGCGACGGUUGUCCCGGUUUAAGCGUGUAGGUGUGUGUUCCAGGUAAAUCCGGUUCACUUUAACACUGAGGCGUGACGACGAGGCACUACGGUGCUGAAGCAACAAAUGCCCUGCUUCCAGGAAAAGCCUCUAAGCAUCAGGUAACAUCAAAUCGUACCCCAAACCGACACAGGUGGUCAGGUAGAGAAUACCAAGGCGCUUGA